rnacentral:tRNA from 1 species
CGGGGUGUAGCUCAGCUUGGCAGAGCGCUACGUUCGGGACGUAGAGGUCGUAGGUUCGAAUCCUAUCACCCCGA